GGCCCGGCGGGGCUGUGGGAGCGCUGAGGGCAGCCGGUACCGAGCCGCAGCGUGCGGCGGACGGCGGCGGGCUGCCCGCGUCACCCCCUGCGCGGGCUCCCGGGAGGUGAUGACGAGCGGGUUGCGGCCGGUGUUGGUGACCGGAGGCGGCCGCUCAGGAGUUUCUAGACUGCAGCAAAAUACAGGUGACUUGACAGUGAAAAUUUUUGUUGCCUCGGAAAAUAACGUUUUAUGAGCUACAGUUUUAUCAGUGCUGCGUGCUCUUACUUCAGCACAUUAUCCAUCUUAUGUGGAGCUGCAGAAGACAAUAAUCUGCCCGUCUUUGAAGCGUGAAGAUGAUGUGAAAUCUCUUGUUUUGGAGAAUCAAAAAGCAGUCUGCAAGCACAAUCCCAUUUAAUUGGUCGAUGUGGGGAUGCUUUUCCUGUUGAAGCUUUUCCAGUUUCUGUUAAGUGAAAUAUCUGUGCAUAUGCGAAUAAAAUCUCUAACAUUUCCCUCUGCCAGCACAGUGGCUGUGCUGUGUAUUUCCAGUGGAUUCCUCUUUUGGGUAGAUCCGAUGGCUCUUUAUUGGGAGAGCAGUUUGGUUGCAAUGCUCAUUGAUGAGGAUGGGAAAUCCCUUUUGUUCCUCUUUUCCUACCAUGUGGAGAUCAAUUGGAGACUUUCUGUUGCUGAACUUUGAGUUGCAGCUCCUUCCUCUCCCCUCUGCUAGCCGUGCUGUUGGCAGCAAACAGAGCACCACUGGGACAGGAAUGAGUGGGAAUUUUAUAAUGCACCUUCCCCAUUUCAUCAAACUCUACCUUUA